ensembl:lncRNA
AAUAAAUAACGCGUUAAUAAAUAUUAACACCCUAACAGUAAGCCAUGUAGGUGUUCAUAUAUAUAUAUCUAAAUAUGCGUAUAUGUGCAUGUAUGUACUUCAAUACACAUGUGUUUUGUGCUUUGUGUAUACAUAAAAAAAAAAGCCUUUUAAAUAAGCUAGUAAAACAAAGAAAAAAAAAACAAAGACAAGUGUUUUUAAAAUAUAUAGGAUUGAGUGCCAAAAAAAAAAACACACAUAUAUAUGUAUACAUAUAUAUAUCAUUAUUAUAUUUAUUGUAUUUUUUUUUUAUUUUUUGAAAAGUUUAUUGAUAUAUACAAUUUAGUCAUACUAGCAGCUUUAGUAUCGGAUGAUAAACAAAGACAUAUAACUAAUAUUUUAUCACUUAAACAUGAAACACAAAAAUAUAUACACAAAAUUAUAGAAUAUUUAGAAAAAGAGAAAAAUCUAAAUCAGGAUAAUAAAUUAUUAACACAUAAUAAUUCUGAAAUUAGUAAGACAAAAAAAAAUUGCACAUAAGUAUCUUUUUUUAAAAAAAAUGAAUACCCAAAUAACUAUUAUAAAAUUUGUAAAAAUGAUAUAUGAACAAAGAUCUUGUUUUUUAACAUUUUUAUCUAUAUAUUAGAUAAUAAAAAAUAAAAAUGUAAACUUCUGUUUACUAUUGUAUAGAUCCAUUAACAAGCACUUAUAUAUAUAUAUAUAUAUAUAUAUAAGUACAAUCAUAAUAUGAACGUAAUAUAUAUAUAUAUAUACAUAUGUAUAUCAUUUUUUUUUUUCUUUUAAUUUUUGAAUCAUUCCAAAUAAUAAUUUACAUUAUCUUUAUAGAUAUCGAGGUAAUACAAAUAUAAAAAAAUUGCAGUACAUAUUUUAAACUAUUAUAUAUAUAUACAAUCAACCAUAUUGUAUGUACAUGUAUAACUUCUAUUAACAUUUAUAGGAUAUAAAUGAGACAUUAAAAAAUGAAAUAAAACAAUUGAAAAAAAAAUCAAAGAUUUAGAAACAGAAAAUGAAAACUUAAGCAACUCUUUAACAGAAAAAACCAAAAUUAUAGAAGAGAACAAAGUUGUAAUAGAAAAUUUUCAAACAAAAUUAAAUACAUCCGUUGAAACAACUAAAAAUAAAUAUAUUACACAAAUAGAAGAACAAGACAAAAAAAUCCAUGAGUUGCAAAACAAGUUAGAAAAACAAUUUAAAGAUAGUAGUCAAAUAGAAAAAGAACUAAAAAAUAAAAUAAAAGAGCUAGAGGAUGAACAAAAUAUACUUAAACAAGAGAAUCAAAAUAAUGCAACUUUGCAAAAUAAAAUUAAUAUAUAUAAGGGAAAAUUAGACAGCCUCUUAACAGUUCAAAAUAUAAAUAAGGAGUUAGAAGACAAGCUCAAAAACAAUACACAGAAAAUGGUUAAUAUGGAACAAGAAAUAGAAAAAUUCAAAGCUGAGACAACUAAAUUGAAAAAAUAUGAAGAAAAAAUUGAAGGUUUGUCAUUUUACUUUAUCUUACUAUACUUUAUAUUAUUUUAUUAUGUACUAUUCCAUUUGUUGUUAUUUUUAUUUAUUAUUGUUUCAACGUAAAAAUAUAAGCUAUUAUAUAAACACUUCUCUCUUUUUUUUUUUCAUUAAUAACAGAAAUAAAUGCACAACUGGAGAAAGCA